CCUGUCUGAGGAUGAAGCUGGUCGAAGUGGUGCUGCCAUCGGAUCUUUUCAACCUGCUCCUCCGGGUUGUGGUGCCUCGGGCCACCUGGACUCGACACACGGGGCCAGAGAGAAGCCGGUAUCACUGAAUGAGGACAUAAUACUCCAGAAGUCAAGUGCAUGGGCAAAUACAAACAGUCCUCUUACAGAAAAAUGGGAGAGUAAAAAACUGCAAACAACAAUACAAUCUUCCACCUGAAGGACAACUUGCUUAAAACAGACAACUAUAAAAUAUAAUCACCUCUAUCUUUCAUCUUCAUUCUGCCAUUUUGGGUGGUUGUCAUAAAUUAUGCAGUU
rnacentral:lncRNA from 1 species